GGUUAAGCGACUAAGCGUACACGGUGGAUGCCCUGGCAGUCAGAGGCGAUGAAGGACGUGCUAAUCUGCGAUAAGCGCCGGUAAGGUGAUAUGAACCGUUAUAACCGGCGAUUUCCGAAUGGGGAAACCCAGUGUGACUCGUCACACUAUCAUUAACUGAAUCCAUAGGUUAAUGAGGCGAACCGGGGGAACUGAAACAUCUAAGU
rnacentral:rRNA from 1 species